rnacentral:rRNA from 1 species
CAAAUCCGGGGUACUGUAUGCUGAGAACUGAUAGCAAGCUGUACUUGUACAGUGAAGUGGCUGAUACCAUGCUUCCAGGAAAAGUCUCUGAGCUUCAGUUACAUAGGAAUCGUACCCGAAACCGACACAGGUGGUCAGGUCGAGUAGACCAAAGCGCUUGAGAGAACUCUGCUGAAGGAACUAGGCAAAAUGGUACCGUAACUUCGGGAGAAGGUACGCUG